GGGUGUUUUUCAUCUGGGUGGAUGAGUGGCGAACGGGUGAGUAAUACGUGAGUAACCUGCCCUUGACUCUGGGAUAAGCCUGGGAAACUGGGUCUAAUACUGGAUACUACGUGCCCUCGCAUGGGGGUGUGUGGAAAGGGUUUUACUGGUUUUGGAUGGGCUCACGGCCUAUCAGCUUGUUGGUGGGGUAAUGGCCUACCAAGGCGACGACGGGUAGCCGGCCUGAGAGGGUGACCGGCCACACUGGGACUGAGACACGGCCCAGACUCCUACGGGAGGCAGCAGUGGGGAAUAUUGCACAAUGGGCGAAAGCCUGAUGCAGCGACGCCGCGUGAGGGAUGACGGCCUUCGGGUUGUAAACCUCUUUCAGCACGGAAGAAGCGAAAGUGACGGUACGUGCAGAAGAAGCGCCGGCUAACUACGUGCCAGCAGCCGCGGUAAUACGUAGGGCGCAAGCGUUGUCCGGAAUUAUUGGGCGUAAAGAGCUCGUAGGCGGUUUGUCGCGUCUGCUGUGAAAGCCCGGGGCUUAACCCCGUGGUGUGCAGUGGGUACGGGCAGACUAGAGUGCAGUAGGGGAGACUGGAAUUCCUGGUGUAGCGGUGAAAUGCGCAGAUAUCAGGAGGAACACCGAUGGCGAAGGCAGGUCUCUGGGCUGUUACUGACGCUGAGGAGCGAAAGCAUGGGGAGCGAACAGGAUUAGAUAC
rnacentral:rRNA from 1 species